GAAGGAGGAAUGAGGGGGUGGCUUGCGGAGCUCGGCGCCGCCGUGGGCGAAGCCGCAGGAGGCGCCGCGGGGGCAGUGGUGGCUGCGUUGCCACAGCGCGCACAGCUUCGUCUUGUAGGCCGGGCCACGGUGAGGAGGGGGAUCCGCCAUUUCUCUCAUCGUCUUGUAGGCCGGGUCGCGGGCGGCGGGCGGCGGACGGACGACGAGACGGCGCCGAGGAGGAAGCGGAACGGGGAAGGAGAAAGUGGGA
rnacentral:lncRNA from 1 species